rnacentral:rRNA from 1 species
UACAGAGACUGCAAGCGUUAUUCGGAUUCACUGGGCGUAAAGGGUGCGCAGGUGGCCAAGUGUGUUAGGCGUGAAAGCCCGGGGCUUAACCCCGGAAUUGCACCUAAAACUACAUGGCUAGAGCAUUGGAGAGGGGAGCAGAAUUCACGGUGUAGCAGUGAAAUGCGUAGAUAUCGUGAGGAAUACCAGAGGCGAAGGCGGCUCCCUGGACAAUUGCUGACACUCAGGCACGAAAGCGUGGGGAGCAAAAGGG